rnacentral:misc_RNA from 1 species
AAGAGAUAUUACAUCAACUCCAUCAGCAAUAGCAUCAUCAAAUGCUGCAAGAAUGUCAGCAUCUGAACAGCCAUCAGACCAACAUAUCUUGUACACAGCUAUACGGGCGGAGGGAAGGCCUCCUCGAGCAGUCCCUGAAGCAACGCCUAGUAAGCUUGCAUGGCUAACUACGUCCCCUGCUGCUGUUGAUGCAGUGUGGGUCCCAUGGCCUUCUGAAUCUCUUGGUGAAGCAAUUUCUCCUGGACCUACUUCUCCUUCGCUGUGGUAGUAUCGAGCUCCAAUUACUUUGCUACGAACACAUAAAAAUUUCAAAAGGUUAGGAUAUUCCUUUAAAAAUUUUUGUAUGCGUUUGCUUGUCUAAGUCAGAAACAAAGGGCUUAAAGCUUACUUGUUGCAUGUGAAAUUGGAGGAUCCUUGGCAAAUGCCCUUCCAUUUGGUUGGAGGUGGACCAAAUCCUUUGUCAUUAAAACUUUCAGACUCAGGCCAAAUUCCUGUGUCGAGCAUUCCAAUAAUGAUGUCACUUUCAUAAGUUGAUCUUGUAACAUUCAAGGGGAAACCCAUGAAGUUCCAGGACCGUGUUGUAUGGAGUUUCUUCUUUUCACUAGGGAACACAGACACUACACCUUCCAUACCUGGAAAAGACAAAACGACCAAAACUUACAUCAGAGUUAUUAAUUCUAAUGUGGGUUUUCCUCUGUUUGAAUAUAUAAAAUUUUCCUCUAUGUCCUCUUUACACCUGCCUUCUAGUAGGGCUAAGUAUUUGGUUCAAACCAAAUCGAACCGCGCCGCUCUAUUUCAGUUCAGUUUGUUUUGAACCGAUCAGUUUUUGAAUUUUGAUGAAUUUUUUAAUUUAGAUUUGAUUUUUAAGUUAUUUGGUCUAAUUUUGAUUUUAGUUUGAACCUAAUAAAUAUUAAUCAAUAAAAUUAAACAAU